GGCGCACGGGUGAGUAACGCGUGGAUAAUCUACCCCGAGGCCCGGGAUAACUCGCCGAAAGGCGGGCUAAUACCGGAUAAUGUCCCAUCGCACAAGUGGUGUGACCAUAGGAAGCUUUUGCUUCCGCCACGGGAUGAGUCCGCGUACCAUUAGCUAGUUGGUAGGGUAAUGGCCUACCAAGGCUACGAUGGUUAGCUGGUCUGAGAGGACGAUCAGCCACACUGGAACUGAGACACGGUCCAGACUCCUACGGGAGGCAGCAGUGGGGAAUAUUGCGCAAUGGGGGAAACCAUGACGCAGCGACGCCGCGUGAGCGAUGAAGGCCUUCGGGUCGUAAAGCUCUGUCAGGUGGGAAGAAACCUCCGUCGACGAAUAAUCGGCGGAACUGACGGUACCACCAGAGGAAGCACCGGCUAACUCCGUGCCAGCAGCCGCGGUAACACGGAGGGUGCAAGCGUUGUUCGGAAUCACUGGGCGUAAAGGACGCGCAGGCGGUCCGGUAAGUCAGAAGUGAAAUCCGUCGGCUCAACCGACGAACGGCUUCUGAUACUGCCGGACUUGAGUAC
rnacentral:rRNA from 1 species